rnacentral:siRNA from 1 species
CUGAGUUUUUCCGGCGGUGAA